ACGCACGCUGGCGGCGUGCUUAACACAUGCAAGUCGCACGGAAAGGCCCUGCUUUUGUGGGGUGCUCGAGUGGCGAACGGGUGAGUAACACGUGAGUAACCUGCCCUUGACUUUGGGAUAACUUCAGGAAACUGGGGCUAAUACCGGGUAGGAGCUCCUGCUGCAUGGUGGGGGUUGGAAAGUUUCGGCGGUUGGGGAUGGACUCGCGGCUUAUCAGCUUGUUGGUGGGGUAGUGGCUUACCAAGGCUUUGACGGGUAGCCGGCCUGAGAGGGUGACCGGCCACAUUGGGACUGAGAUACGGCCCAGACUCCUACGGGAGGCAGCAGUGGGGAAUAUUGCACAAUGGGCGGAAGCCUGAUGCAGCAACGCCGCGUGCGGGAUGACGGCCUUCGGGUUGUAAACCGCUUUCGCCUGUGACGAAGCGUGAGUGACGGUAAUGGGUAAAGAAGCACCGGCUAACUACGUG
rnacentral:rRNA from 1 species